rnacentral:rRNA from 1 species
UACGAAGGGUGCUAGCGUUGUUCGGAAUUACUGGGCGUAAAGCGCACGUAGGCGGCUUGUUACGUUUGGGGUGAAAUCCCAGGGCUCAACCCUGGAACUGCCUUUAAUACUGGCAAUCUCGAGUCCGAGAGAGGUGAGUGGAAUUCCGAGUGUAGAGGUGAAAUUCGUAGAUAUUCGGAGGAACACCAGUGGCGAAGGCGGCGCACUGGAGCGGUACUGACGCUGAGGUGCGAAAGCGUGGGGAGCAAACAGG